CCUCCGGGCUCCCCGCACAGGAGCGCGGAACGAGGCGAAGGCGUUCUCUGCCCUGACUACGCCGCCGCCUCAGGUCGGCCCUAUCGGGCCCCUGGGGACCGCACACCCCACCGGCCACGGCGCCGACGGCAGCUCCGGGCUGCGGUGCUGGAGAGGUUGAGGGUCCUCUCCCGGCAC
rnacentral:ncRNA from 1 species